AGCGAACGCUGGCGGCAGGCUUAACACAUGCAAGUCGAACGGGCAUCUUCGGAUGUCAGUGGCAGACGGGUGAGUAACACGUGGGAACGUACCCUUCGGUUCGGAAUAACUCAGGGAAACUUGAGCUAAUACCGGAUACGCCCUUUUGGGGAAAGGUUUACUGCCGAAGGAUCGGCCCGCGUCUGAUUAGCUUGUUGGUGGGGUAACGGCCUACCAAGGCGACGAUCAGUAGCUGGUCUGAGAGGAUGAUCAGCCACACUGGGACUGAGACACGGCCCAGACUCCUACGGGAGGCAGCAGUGGGGAAUAUUGGACAAUGGGCGCAAGCCUGAUCCAGCCAUGCCGCAUGAGUGAUGAAGGCCUUAGGGUUGUAAAGCUCUUUUGUCCGGGACGAUAAUGACGGUACCGGAAGAAUAAGCCCCGGCUAACUUCGUG
rnacentral:rRNA from 1 species